AGUGAACGCUGGCGGUAGGCCUAACACAUGCAAGUCGAACGGCAGCACAGUAAGAGCUUGCUCUUACGGGUGGCGAGUGGCGGACGGGUGAGGAAUACAUCGGAAUCUACUUUUUCGUGGGGGAUAACGUAGGGAAACUUACGCUAAUACCGCAUACGACCUACGGGUGAAGGCAGGGGAUCUUCGGACCUUGCGCGAUUGAAUGAGCCGAUGUCGGAUUAGCUAGUUGGCGGGGUAAAGGCCCACCAAGGCGACGAUCCGUAGCUGGUCUGAGAGGAUGAUCAGCCACACUGGAACUGAGCCACGGUCCAGACUCCUACGGGAGGCAGCAGUGGGGAAUAUUGGACAAUGGGCGCAAGCCUGAUCCAGCCAUACCGCGUGGGUGAAGAAGGCCUUCGGGUUGUAAAGCCCUUUUGUUGGGAAAGAAAAGCAGCAGGUUAAUACCCCGCUGUUCUGACGGUACCCAAAGAAUAAGCACCGACUAACUUCGUG
rnacentral:rRNA from 1 species